AUUGAACGCUGGCGGCAUGCUUUACACAUGCAAGUCGAACGGACUUAGGGGCUUGCUCCUGAGUUAGUGGCGAACGGGUGAGUAAUGCAUCGGAACGUACCGUGUAGUGGGGGAUAACGCAGCGAAAGUUGUGCUAAUACCGCAUACGAUCUACGGAUGAAAGCAGGGGAUCGCAAGACCUUGUGCUAUACGAGCGGCCGAUGUCGGAUUAGCUAGUUGGUGAGGUAAAGGCUCACCAAGGCGACGAUCCGUAGCGGGUCUGAGAGGAUGAUCCGCCACACUGGGACUGAGACACGGCCCAGACUCCUACGGGAGGCAGCAGUGGGGAAUUUUGGACAAUGGGCGCAAGCCUGAUCCAGCCAUGCCGCGUGAGUGAA
rnacentral:rRNA from 1 species